GACGAACGCUGGCGGCGUGCUUAACACACGCAAGUCGAACGGAAAGGCCCUGCUUUUGUGGGGUGCUCGAGUGGCGAACGGGUGAGUAACACGUGAGUAACCUGCCCUUGACUUUGGGAUAACUUCAGGAAACUGGGGCUAAUACCGGAUAGGAGCUCCUGCUGCAUGGUGGGGGUUGGAAAGUUUCGGCGGUUGGGGAUGGACUCGCGGCUUAUCAGCUUGUUGGUGGGGUAGUGGCUUACCAAGGCUUUGACGGGUAGCCGGCCUGAGAGGGUGACCGGCCACAUUGGGACUGAGAUACGGCCCAGACUCCUACGGGAGGCAGCAGUGGGGAAUAUUGCACAAUGGGCGGAAGCCUGAUGCAGCAACGCCGCGUGCGGGAUGACGGCCUUCGGGUUGUAAACCGCUUUCGCCUGUGACGAAGCGUGAGUGACGGUAAUGGGUAAAGAAGCACCGGCUAACUACAUG
rnacentral:rRNA from 1 species